rnacentral:miRNA from 1 species
CACUGGCCGUUUAAGUCCCGAU